rnacentral:rRNA from 1 species
CGAGUGAAGCGGCAACAGCUCAGAUUUGAAAUCUGGUCCUAGCGGCCCGAGUUGUAAUCUGUAGAGGAUGCUUUUGGUCAGGUGCCUUCUGAGUCCCCUGGAACGGGGCGCCAGAGAGGGUGAGAGCCCCGUACGGUCGGACACCGAGCCUCUGUAAAGCUCCUUCGACGAGUCGAGUAGUUUGGGAAUGCUGCUCUAAAUGGGAGGUAAAUUUCUCCUAAAGCUAAAUAUAGGCCAGAGACCGAUAGCGCACAAGUAGAGUGAUCGAAAGAUGAAAAGCACUUUGAAAAGAGGGUUAAAUAGCACGUGAAAUUGCUGAAAGGGAAGCGCUUGUGACCAGACUUGCGCCCGGUGGAUCAGCUGGCGUUCUCGCCAGUGCACUCUGCCGGGCUCAGGCCAGCAUCGGUUCCGACGGGGGGACAAAGGCCGCUGGAACGUAGCUCCCCUCGGGGAGUGUUAUAGCCAGCGGUGUCAUACCCCCAGCCGGGACCGAGGAUCGCGCUCUGCAAGGAUGCUGGCGUAAUGGUCACCAGCGACCCGUCUUGAAACACGGACCAAGGAGUCAAGCAUUAGGGCGAGUCUUUGGGUGUAAAACCCGCAGGCGCAAUGAAAGUGAACGCAGGUGAGAGCUUCGGCGCAUCAUCGACCGAUCCUGA